rnacentral:rRNA from 1 species
GACGUAGGGCGCGAGCGUUGUCCGGAUUUAUUGGGCGUAAAGAGCUCGUAGGCGGCUUGUCGCGUCGACUGUGAAAUCUCAGGGCUCAACUCUGACAUUGCAGUCGAUACGGGCAGGCUAGAGUUCGGUAGGGGAGACUGGAAUUCCUGGUGUAGCGGUGAAAUGCGCAGAUAUCAGGAGGAACACCGGUGGCGAAGGCGGGUCUCUAGGCCGAUACUGACGCUGAGGAGUGAAAGCGUGGGGAGCGAACAGG